rnacentral:rRNA from 1 species
CUAGGAAUCUUGGGAAUGGGCGAAAGCCUGACCCAGCAACGCCGCGUGGGCGAUGAAGGCCUUCGGGUCGUAAAGCCCUUUUGUGAGGGAAGAUGAUGACGGUACCUCACGAAUAAGCCACGGCUAACUACGUGCCAGCAGCCGCGGUAAUACGUAGGUGGCAAGCGUUGUCCGGAUUUACUGGGCGUAAAGGGCGUGCAGGCGGUUUGUUAAGUCUAGGGUGAAAGCUCCCGGCUCAACUGGGAGAGGUCCUUGGAUACUGGCAGACUUGAGGAGGGUAGAGGAGAGUGGAAUUCCCGGUGUAGUGGUGAUAUGCGUAGAUAUCGGGAGGAACACCAGUGGCGAAGGCGGCUCUCUGGGCCCUACCUGACGCUGAGACGCGAAAGCGUGGGGAGCGAACCG